AUGCACUUAACACUGCUAGAGCUAACACACACACACACACACACACACACACACACACACACACACACACACACACACACACACGUAUAUCACUCUAAUGCUGUUAGUCAGGACAUGAAAGCACAACACGGGUACACAGUACACACACUAGUGCUCUCUCUUCUUCAGUCGUAUCUCUUUACCCUCCCUCUCUUCUUCAGUCGUAUCUCUUUACCCUCCCUCUCUUCUCCAGUCGUAUCUCUUUACCCUCUCUCUCUUCUCCAGUCGUAUCUCUUUACCCUCUCUCUCUUCUCCAGUCGUAUCUCUUUACCCUCUCUCUCUCUCUUCCAGUCGUAUCUCUUUACCCUCUCUCUCUCUCUUCUCCAGUCGUAUCUCUUUACCUUCUCUCUCUCUUCUCCAGUCGUAUCUCUUUACCCUCUCUCUCUCUCUUCUCCAGUCGUAUCUCUUUACUCUCUCUCUCUCUUCUCCAGUCGUAUCUCUUUACCCUCCCUCUCUCUUCUCCAGUCGUAUCUCUUUACCCUCCCUCUCUCUUCUCCAGUCGUAUCUCUUUACCCUCUCUCUCUCUCUUCUUCAGUCGUAUCUCUUUACCCUCUCUCUCUCUUCUCCAGUCGUAUCUCUUUACCCUCUCUCUCUCUUCUCCAGUCGUAUCUCUUUACCUCUCUCUCUCUUCUCCAGUCGUAUCUCUUUACCCUCUCUCUCUCUCUCUUCUCCAGUCGUAUCUCUUUACCCUCUCCUCUCUUCGCCAGUCGUAUCUCUUUACUCUCUCUCUCUUCUCCAGUCGUAUCUCUUUACCCUCUCUCUCUCUUCUCCAGUCGUAUCUCUUUACCCUCUCUCUCUUCGCCAGUCGUAUCUCUUUACCCUCUCUCUCUCUUCGCCAGUCGUAUCUCUUUACCCUCUCUCUCUCUUCUCCAGUCGUAUCUCUUUACCCUCUCUCUCUCUUCUCCAGUCGUAUCUCUUUACCCUCUCUCUCUCUCUUCUUCAGUCGUAUCUCUUUACCCUCUCUCUCUCUCUCUCUUCUUCAGUCGUAUCUCUUUACCCUCUCUCUCUCUCUCUUCUCCAGUCGUAUCUCUUUACACUCUCUCUCUCUCUCUCUCUCUUCUCCAGUCGUAUCUCUUUACUCUCUCUCUCUUCGCCAGUCGUAUCUCUUUACCCUCCCUCUCUUCUCCAGUCGUAUCUCUUUACCCUCCCUCUCUCUCUUCUUCAGUCGUAUCUCUUUACCUUCUCUCUCUCUUCUCCAGGCGUAUCUCUUUACCUUCUCUCUCUCUUCUCCAGUCGUAUCUCUUUACCUUCUCUCUCUCUUCUCCAGUCGUAUCUCUUUACCCUCUCUCUCUCUCUUCUUCAGUCGUAUCUCUUUACUCUCUCUCUCUCUUCUCCAGUCGUAUCUCUUUACCCUCUCUCUCUCUUCGCCAGUCGUAUCUCUUUACCCUCUCUCUCUCUUCUCCAGUCGUAUCUCUUUACCCUCUCUCUCUCUUCUCCAGUCGUAUCUCUUUACCCUCUCUCUCUCUCUCUCUCUCUCUCUCUCUCUUCUCCAGUCGUAUCUCUUUACCCUCCCUCUCUUCUCCAGUCGUAUCUCUUUACCCUCUCUCUCUCUUCUCCAGUCGUAUCUCUUUACCCUCUCUCUCUCUUCUCCAGCCGUAUCUCUUUACCCUCUCUCUCUCGCCUGCAGUCGUAUCUCUUUACCCCUCUCUCUCUCUCUCUCUUCUUCAGUCGUAUCUCUUUACCCUCUCUCUCUCUCUCUUCUCCAGUCGUAUCUCUUUACACUCUCUCUCUCUCUCUCUCUCUUCUCCAGUCGUAUCUCUUUACUCUCUCUCUCUUCUCCAGUCGUAUCUCUUUACCCUCUCUCUCUCUUCUCCAGUCGUAUCUCUUUACCCUCUCUCUCUCUCUUCUUCAGUCGUAUCUCUUUACCCACUCUCUCUCUCUAAUGUCUCUCUCUCUCUCUCCUGUCUCUCUCUCUCUCUCUACUGUCUCUCUCUCUCUCUCUACUGUCUCUCUCUCGCUCUUCUCCAGUCGUAUCUCUUUACCCUCUCUCUCUCUUCUCCAGUCGUAUCUCUUUACUCUCUCUCUCUUCACCAGUCGUAUCUCUUUACUCUCUCUCUCUCUUCUCCAGUCGUAUCUCUUUACCUUCUCUCUCUCUUCUCCAGUCGUAUCUCUUUACCCUCUCUCUCUCUUCUUCAGUCGUAUCUCUUUACCCUCUCUCUCUCUUCUCCAGUCGUAUCUCUUUACCCUCUCUCUCUUCGCCAGUCGUAUCUCUUUACCCUCUCUCUCUCUUCUCCAGUCGUAUCUCUUUACCCUCUCUCUCUCUUCUCCAGUCGUAUCUCUUUACCCUCUCUCUCUCUCUUCUUCAGUCGUAUCUCUUUACCCUCUCUCUCUCUCUUCUUCAGUCGUAUCUCUUUACCCUCUCUCUCUCUCUCUUCUCCAGUCGUAUCUCUUUACCCUCUCUCUCUCUCUCUCUCUCUUCUCCAGUCGUAUCUCUUUACCCUCCCUCUCUUCUCCAGUCGUAUCUCUUUACUCUCUCUCUCUUCGCCAGUCGUAUCUCUUUACCCUCCCUCUCUUCUCCAGUCGUAUCUCUUUACCCUCCCUCUCUCUCUUCUUCAGUCGUAUCUCUUUACCUUCUCUCUCUCUUCUCCAGUCGUAUCUCUUUACCUCUCUCUCUCUCUUCUUCAGUCGUAUCUCUUUACUCUCUCUCUCUCUUCUCCAGUCGUAUCUCUUUACCCUCUCUCUCUCUUCUCCAGUCGUAUCUCUUUACCCUCCUCUCUCUCUCUUCUUCAGUCGUAUCUCUUUACCUUCUCUCUCUCUUCUUCAGUCGUAUCUCUUUACUCUCUCUCUCUUCUCCAGUCGUAUCUCUUUACCCUCUCCUCUCUUCUCCAGUCGUAUCUCUUUACCCUCUCUCUCUUCUCCAGUCGUAUCUCUUUACCCUCUCUCUCUCUUCUUCCAGUCGUAUCUCUUUACUCUCUCUCUCUUCUCCAGUCGUAUCUCUUUACCCUCUCUCUCUCUUCUCCAGUCGUAUCUCUUUACCCUCUCUCUCUCUCUCGUCUCCAGUCGUAUCUCUUUACCCUCUCUCUCUCUCUUCUUCAGUCGUAUCUCUUUACCCUCUCUCUCUUCUCCAGUCGUAUCUCUUUACCCUCUCUCUCUCUUCUCCAGUCGUAUCUCUUUACCCUCUCUCUCUCUUCUCCAGUCGUAUCUCUUUACCCUCUCUCUCUCUCUUCUUCAGUCGUAUCUCUUUACCCUCUCUCUCUCUUCUUCAGUCGUAUCUCUUUACCCUCUCUCUCUCUCUCUUCUCCAGUCGUAUCUCUUUACCCUCUCUCUCUCUCUCUCUCUUUCUCCAGUCGUAUCUCUUUACACUCUCUCUCUCUCUCUCUUCUCCAGUCGUAUCUCUUUACCCUCUCUCUCUCUCUCUCUCUCUCUUCUUCCAGUCGUAUCUCUUUACCCCUCUCUCUCUCUCUCUCUCUCUCUCUCUCUCUCUCUCUCUCUCUUCUUCAGUCGUAUCUCUUUACCCUCUCUCUCUCUCUCUCUCUCUCUCUCUCUCUCUUCUUCAGUCGUAUCUCUUUACCCUCUCUCUCUCUCUUCUCUAGUCAUAUCUCUUUACCCUCCCUCUCUUCGCCAGUCGUAUCUCUUUACUCUCUCUCUCUUCGCCAGUCGUAUCUCUUUACCCUCUCUCUCUCUCUCUCUUCUUCAGUCGUAUCUCUUUACCCUCUCUCUCUCUCUUCUCCAGUCGUAUCUCUUUACUCUCUCUCUCUUCGCCAGUCGUAUCUCUUUACCCUCCCUCUCUUCUCCAGUCGUAUCUCUUUACCUCUCUCUCUCUCUUCUCCAGUCGUAUCUCUUUACCCUCUCUCUCUCUUCUCCAGUCGUAUCUCUUUACCCUCCCUCUCUCUUCUCCAGUCGUAUCUCUUUACCCUCCCUCUCUCUUCUCCAGUCGUAUCUCUUUACCCUCCCUCUCUUCUCCAGUCGUAUCUCUUUACUCUCUCUCUCUUCGCCAGUCGUAUCUCUUUACCCUCUCUCUCUCUUCUUCAGUCGUAUCUCUUUACCCUCUCUCUCUCUCUCUCUCUUCUCCAGUCGUAUCUCUUUACCCUCUCUCUCUCUCUCUCNNNNNNNNNNNNNNNNNNNNUUCUCUCUCUCUCUCUGUGUGUCUCUCUCUGUGUCUCUCUCUCUGUGUCUCUGUCUCUCUGUGUCUCUCUCUGUGUCUCUCUCUCUCUCUCUCUGUGUCUC
rnacentral:lncRNA from 8 species